rnacentral:rRNA from 1 species
UGGGGAAUAUUGGACAAUGGGCGAAAGCCUGAUCCAGCCAUGCCGCGUGUGUGAAGAAGGUCUUCGGAUUGUAAAGCACUUUAAGUUGGGAGGAAGGGCAGUAAGCGAAUACCUUGCUGUUUUGACGUUACCGACAGAAUAAGCACCGGCUAACUCUGUGCCAGCAGCCGCGGUAAUACAGAGGGUGCAAGCGUUAAUCGGAAUUACUGGGCGUAAAGCGCGCGUAGGUGGUUCGUUAAGUUGAAUGUGAAAGCCCCGGGCUAAACCUGGGAACUGCAUCCAAAACUGGCGAGCUAGAGUAGGGCAGAGGGUGGUGGAAUUUCCUGUGUAGCGGUGAAAUGCGUAGAUAUAGGAAGGAACACCAGUGGCGAAGGCGACCACCUGGGCUCAUACUGACACUGAGGUGCGAAAGCGUGGGGAGCAAACAGG